rnacentral:lncRNA from 13 species
CACAACCUCCUGGUCCAAGAGGCACCAGCGGCCGCUGCCCAGAGCCAAAGUGCCCAGGAUCCAGCGUGGCUUCGGAUAUGAAUGCAGCCGGCACGUGUGGUAACAAGCACAGAGCAGGCACCAAACACACAUCAGCCACCUCUGCCACCGGAACACCGAGGCCCACCACCCCAGCAGGCACGCCGUCCGGGCACACCCACCGAAAUGAGCCCCAGCUCUCGGGGAAGCAGAAGCGCUCUGGAAGGAACUCCGCAGAAGACCCCUCUGCCUCUCACCUCUCUCUGCACUCAGCAUGGCCACCAGCAGGACCAGGGACAAGGUCUUCAUGGCGUGGAGACUGCUCAUUCUAAGAGACAGGGUUUCACCAUGUUGGCCAGGCUGGUAUCAAACUCCUGAGCUCAGGUGAUCCACCCGCUUCGGCCUCCCAAAGUGCUGGGAUUACAGGCGUGAGCCCCAUGCCCGGCCCAGGAGCUUGACUUCUGCUAAUGCGCCAGGAUGGGCAGUCAAGGAAGCGGCCACGUCCUCGGGAUGCAGCAGCUGUGGCCGCCAUACAGUCAACACAAGUGUUGCAUCGGACUGAGCACAGAAAGUCAACACCAGGACAAAAGUAUGCCAAAUUGCAGGGUUUACUGCCGGCAACCACGGAGGACUCACAUCUCUCCAACCCGUGACCCCGAAAGAAGAGAGACAAGACCUUUUUAUACCCGCAAAAACCACCUUGGGAGUGGGGGUGGAGAUGGGAAUGAAAGCUGUCAAUCACCUCCCAGGCUAAGACGAGGGUGAGGGGCUUCAGACAUUCCGAGGGCCAGUGGAUUCAAAUCACCUUCUGGGCAGAGAGGAGGGUGAGGGGGUUCCGGACAUUUCGAGGGCCAGGGGACUAUUUGACAUUCUGAUUGUCAUUUAAGGGGUUCACAGAUGCUGAGAUUAGCAUUCGUUUACACGUCGUCUGGGUAGGGGUGGGAUCCAUAGACUUUCAGUUGCUUGGCGCCAGGAUGGAGUUAUCUGGGGUGCUUACUCUGGGAAACAAAGGCCAUCAAUUCUGGCAGAUAAGAGAAGGUAGGCAGCUUUACCUCUCUUUGCAUCCUGCAAAUAAUCUAGCAGGUUACAGAAACCAAGGUUAGCAGUCCUUGAGGAGAGUGGAAACAUUUUUGUCUUUUAUAAGAUGGCAGUGUACAGGUUCCAACUCUAAGUUAGCUAUAUCACACAAGAAGCCUUUCCGUUUGCACCACGGUCCGGCUCAUCCAGGCAAUGCUAUCUCCAGGAGGGACAGUCCCCGCCCCCAGCUAGACAGCAGGCACACUGGAUUUUACCUGUCCUCAGACUGACCCUUCGCCCGUUUUAACAGUAGAAAGCACACCCCAGGGAGGAGGUUUCAGAGACUAAUGAGACAUGCGACGUAGGAACAAGCCUGUGCACCCAGAGGACCCCCUGGAACGAGCUUCCGAGCAACGCCUCUCCCACCUCGAGAGAGGAAUCAGGGAAGACUCCCAUCAGGAGCCUCCCGGUGCCAAUCUCCCCUGUCCCGCCUGUAGAGGCAGCCGGCCCUGGACCCUCCCUCUCCGGGCGUCCUGUCUCUUCCGCACUGAACUUUAAAAACAUUCUUUCUCCUUUGCAAUGCACCCCUCUGCGCUGCAUCUCUGCGUCUCCUGUUUAAAUUCUCUCAAGCUAAGAAGCGUGGAGGCCUAGCAGCAGCCCUCAGUGUUUCCGACGUCCUGCCUGAUGGAGGUUUGUCUGGGCAUCCACUCCCGUUGCCCUUCCCUGUGGUGGGUACCAUGGCACUGCCAGGCUGCCUGGUUGGCUGCCACUGCGUCUCCCAGGCUGUUUCAGUAAAGGUUUUUAAGUGGCCUGUGCCCUUUCUGUGGAUACGUGCGGCCUCCUCUGCGCCUCCAACAUUAUCCCACCCACGUGGGUUGUUCUCAGCACGGGGCAUUCGCUGUUUUGCGCUGAGUUUCACACCUUUCUGGGCUCCUGUCCCACCUGUUCCUCUGGCAGCACUUGGCCGCCACCUUGUGGCCACUGUGAUUUACAGUCUGAUCGUGUUUUUUGUUUACAAUUUUUUCUUUUCUUUUCUUUUUUUCUGAGACAGAGUUUCUAUUGCCCAGGCUAGAGGCAAUGACACCAUCUUGGCUCACCGCAACCUCCGCCUCCUGGGUUCAAGCAAUUCUCCUGCCUCAGCCUUCUGAGUAGCUGGGACUACAGGCACCCACCACCACAUCUGGCUAAUGUUUUGUAUUUUUAGUAGGGAUGGGGUUUCACCGUGUUGGCCAGGCUGGUCUCGAACUCCUGACCUUGAGUGAUCUGCCCACCUCGGCCUCCCAAAGUGCUGGGAUUACAGCCAUGAGCCACCAGGCCCGCCCAACAUGUUCUGUUUUGAGGGACACACUAAGAGUGCCCCAUCCCUCCAGACUUUAUGCAUUUUCCAACUCCUUGUCCUUCCACUGGCUUUCUUUGCUGAAUAAAAAAUGCUCAGUCAUGUAGAUUCCA